AACGAACGCUGGCGGCAUGCCUAACACAUGCAAGUCAAACGAGACCUUCGGGUCUAGUGGCGCACGGGUGCGUAACGCGUGGGAACCUGCCCUUAGGUUCGGAAUAACUCCCCGAAAGGGGUGCUAAUACCGGAUAAUGUCUUCGGACCAAAGAUUUAUCGCCUUUGGAUGGGCCCGCGUUGGAUUAGCUAGUUGGUAGGGUAAAAGCCUACCAAGGCGACGAUCCAUAGCUGGUCUGAGAGGAUGAUCAGCCACACUGGGACUGAGACACGGCCCAGACUCCUACGGGAGGCAGCAGUGGGGAAUAUUGGACAAUGGGUGAAAGCCUGAUCCAGCAAUGCCGCGUGAGUGAUGAAGGCCUUAGGGUUGUAAAGCUCUUUUACCCGGGAUGAUAAUGACAGUACCGGGAGAAUAAGCUCCGGCUAACUCCGUG
rnacentral:rRNA from 1 species